rnacentral:snRNA from 1 species
AUUGCUUCUCAGCCUUUUGGCUAAGAUCAAGUGUAGUAUCUGUUCUUAUCAGUUUAAUAUCUGAUACAUCCUCUAUCCAAGGACAAUAUGUUAAAUGGAUUUUUGGAACAGGGAGAUGAAUAGGAGCUUGCUCUGUCCAUUCCAUGCAUUGACCUGGUAUUGCAGUACUUCGGAACAGUGCAUGCAAU